UACGUAGGGUGCGAGCGUUAAUCGGAAUUACUGGGCGUAAAGUGUGCGCAGGCGGCCGCGCAAGUCGAGUGUGAAAGCCCCGGGCUUAACUUGGGAAUUGCGCUCGAAACUACGUGGCUGGAGUGUGGCAGAGGAAGGUGGAAUUCCACGUGUAGCGGUGAAAUGCGUAGGAGAAUGUGGAGGAACACCAAUGGCGAAGGCAGCCUCUGGGCCAACACUGACGCUCGAUGCACGAAAGCGUGGGGAGAAACAGGAAUU
rnacentral:rRNA from 1 species